UUUCAUCUUUUCCUUCAAACAAAAAACAACCAAACUUCUUACCAUGGCUACAACUAAUAACAAAAACCUCACAAUUACUGAAAAAGUUUAUGCUAGAGUUCGUCUUGCAAAUGAAGCUGAUAUUUCCCAUAUAUACAAACUCUUUUACCAAAUUCAUGAAUAUCACAAUUACACUCAUCUUUACAAAGCAACUGAAUCUUCACUUUGUGAUCUUCUUUUUAAAGCAAACCCUAAUCCUCUCUUCUAUGGACCCUCAAUACUAUUACUCGAAGUUUCGCCAACCUCUUUUGAAAAUACCAAAAAUGAUGAAAAAUUCAAGCCAGUUUUAAAAACAUUUGAUCUUAGA
rnacentral:lncRNA from 1 species